UAGACUCGACCGAACGUGUCACGUAACCGUAGGAGCAGUGGGACGAAGAACGCAAGUGGCGCCUAUUUGUGGCAAUGCCAGGCCCGCGAGUGUAAAUUCCACUAACGCCUUCUAUUCAGAAAACGUCCGGCCUGGUCUGGUGAAGUGUGCUAUAGUGACCGAAGGGACCUGUACUUACGCAUGUGUUGUGACUGUUCAGUCAAGAUCACUCUGCGAAAGAAUGGCGCGGAGGUGUCCCAUCGUCCGUACGCCAUCGGCAACAGCUGAGCUGAUGCACAACAGUACCAGCACAAGCGGCUUAUGAUGGCGGUCUCCGAAUCUGGCAUCUGGAUGCACUCCGGCUCCCGUUACCCGUUACCCCCAGUGAACCAGGACAUCGUGUCUCUCGACAUACCGUUGCACGAGUACUUGGCGGUUCUUUGCACUGGACUCGCGUUAUCGCUGGUGGCGUUAGCGGCUGAGAUCCUCCUGUACCGUUAUCGCGGAGAGGGAGAAUAGAAUG
rnacentral:misc_RNA from 1 species